rnacentral:lncRNA from 1 species
CCCGAGAUAAGAACUUGAAAUUACUAUAUAUUCCAAUACCCAGUUACCUUCCCAAUCUUCUCUACAAAAAACCUAGCUCCAAGAUCAUGCAUACCAAAGUAGAAACAAAGGUAACAACAAUUCUACGAACAGUAAACUUUAAAACAAGGGAACAACAAUUCUACAAAUAGUCCUCAAUAUGAACUUCAUUCUCCCAAAAUGUGAAGGGAAAAUUUGAAAGAACCUGAUACAAUAAGUGAACGUCAAAAGCUG